UAGUCCACGCCCUAAACGAUGCUAACUCGAUAUUUGGAUCUUGAAUCUGAGUGUCUAAGCGAAAGCGAUAAGUUAGCCACCUGGGGAGUACGUUCGCAAGAUUGAAACUCAAAGGAAUUGACGGGGGCCCGCACAAGCGGAGGAACAUGUGGUUUAAUUCGAUGAUACGCGAGGAACCUUACCUGGACUUAAAUGUACGUUGCAUGGAUCAGAGAUGGUCCUUUCUUCGGACUACGUACAAGGUGCUGCAUGGUUGUCGUCAGCUCGUGCCGUGAGGUGUCGGGUUAAGUCCCAUAACGAGCGCAACCCCUAUCCUUAGUUGCCGGCGGAUUAUGCCGGGGACUCUGAGGAGACUGCCACCGUAAGGUGUGAGGAAGGUGGGGAUGACGUCAAACCAGCACGGCCCUUAUGUCCAGGGCUACACACGUGUUACAAUGGACGGUACAAAGGGCAGCUACCUGGCGACAGGAUGCUAAUCUCUAAAGCCGUUCUCAGUUCGGAUCGAAGUCUGCAACCCG
rnacentral:rRNA from 1 species